rnacentral:rRNA from 1 species
CCUACGGGAGGCAGCAGUGAGGAAUAUUGGUCAAUGGACGAGAGUCUGAACCAGCCAAGUAGCGUGAAGGAUGACUGCCCUAUGGGUUGUAAACUUCUUUUAUCUGGGAAUAAAAUGUUCCACGUGUGGGAUUUUGUAUGUACCAUAUGAAUAAGGAUCGGCUAACUCCGUGCCAGCAGCCGCGGUAAUACGGAGGAUCCGAGCGUUAUCCGGAUUUAUUGGGUUUAAAGGGAGCGUUGGUGGAUUGGUAAGUCAGUUGUGAAAGUUGGCGGCUCAACCGUAAAAUUGCAGUUGAAACUGGCAGGCUUGAGGACAGUAGAGGUGGGCGGAAUUCGGGGUGUAGCGGUGAAAUGCUUAGAUAUCACGAAGAACUCCGAGUGCGAAGGCAGCUCACUGGACUGCAACUGACACUGAGGCUCGAAAGUGUGGGUAUCAAACAGGAUUAGAUACCCUGGUAGUC